rnacentral:lncRNA from 1 species
AAAAUACAACUUGCAUUUCAAUAUUAUGAAUGAACACGAAUGCGGCCACUUUCAUUUCAGACGGAAACCGUCUUAAAUUUAACUAAAAUGCUAAAAUUGUGAAGAUUUCAGUAAUUUAGCAUGACUUAAUGAUGAUAGUACCCAAUAAAUGUACAUUGUAUUGUCAAAAACAGCCUAUAUUUAUGUAGCAGAAGCAUUCUACUUUCCAAUAAAUAGCUAAAAGAUAACAAUUUCGUAAUUUUGUAAAACUACUAUAUUUUGGGGCCAAAAAGGGGUCUUACUGAACCUACUCCUUUCAUUCUGAUCCAAAAAAAAAAAAAAAAAAUUAGGAAAUAACUGUAUUGUAUUUUAAGCUCUGACGGCAUCAAUUGGGGAUUUGAUGAUCGCAAAUUAAGUUUACUGGCAAUGUGUUAGCGGAGACAGUAAACGGGUUUUUGCGACCAUCAAAUCCCCAAUUGAUGAAGUCAGAGCUUAUAAUACAAUAUUGUUAUCUCCAUUCUAAUGAAACUGACAGA